UAAGAGUUCAGUUCAGCCUGCAGUCCCUGAGCUGGAGGCUCUGUGGUGCUACAGAAGAACAUUUACACCUGGGA